GGCUCAUUCAAAUAUCUGCCCUAUCAACUUUCGAUGGUAGGAUAGGGGCCUAACAUGGUUUCAACGGGUAACGGGGAAUAAGGGUUCGAUUCCGGAGAGGGAGCCUGAGAAACGGUACCACUUCCAAGGAAGGCAGCAGGCGCGCAAAUUACCCAAUCCCGACCGGGGAGGUAGUGACAAUAAAUAACAAUAUAGGGCUCUUUUGGGUCUUAUAAUUGGAAUGAGUACAAUUUAAAUCCCUUAACGAGGAACAAUUGGAGGGCAAGUCUGGUGCCAGCAGCCGGGUUAAUUCCAGCUCCAAUAGCGUAUAUUAAAGUUGUUGCAGUUAAAAAGCUCGUAGUUG
rnacentral:rRNA from 1 species